UACGUAGGGGGCUAGCGUUGUCCGGAAUCAUUGGGCGUAAAGAGCGCGUAGGCGGCUAGAUAAGUCCGGUGUGAAAGUCACAGGCUCAACCUGUGAAUGCCGCUGGAAACUGUCUGGCUAGGGUCCGGAAGGGGCGAGUGGAAUUCCUGGUGUAGCGGUGAAAUGCGCAGAUAUCAGGAGGAACACCAAUGGCGAAGGCAGCUCGCUGGGACGGUACUGACGCUGAGGCGCGAAAGCGUGGGGGAGCAAACAGG
rnacentral:rRNA from 1 species